UAGCGGAGGAAAAGAAACCAACAGGGAUUGCCCUAGUAACGGCGAGUGAAGCGGCAACAGCUCAAAUUUGAAAUCUGGCUUCGGCCCGAGUUGUAAUUUGCAGAGGAAGCUUUAGGCGCGGCACCUUCUGAGUCCCCUGGAACGGGGCGCCAUAGAGGGUGAGAGCCCCGUAUAGUUGGAUGCCUAGCCUGUGUAAAGCUCCUUCGACGAGUCGAGUAGUUUGGGAAUGCUGCUCAAAAUGGGAGGUAAAUUUCUUCUAAAGCUAAAUACCGGCCAGAGACCGAUAGCGCACAAGUAGAGUGAUCGAAAGAUGAAAAGCACUUUGAAAAGAGGGUUAAAUAGCACGUGAAAUUGUUGAAAGGGAAGCGCUUGUGACCAGACUUGCGCCGGGCGGAUCAUCCGGUGUUCUCACCGGUGCACUCCGCCCGGCUCAGGCCAGCAUCGGUUCUCGCGGGGGGAUAAAGGUCCUGGGAACGUAGCUCCUCCGGGAGUGUUAUAGCCCGGGGCGUAAUGCCCUCGCGGGGACCGAGGUUCGCGCAUCUGCAAGGAUGCGCUAGACGAGACU
rnacentral:rRNA from 1 species